rnacentral:rRNA from 1 species
AGGAUUAGAUACCCUGGUAGUCCACGCCCUAAACGAUGUCUACUAGUUGUCGGGUUUUAAUUAACUUGGUAACGCAGCCAACGCGUGAAGUAGACCGCCUGGGGAGUACGGUCGCAAGAUUAAAACUCAAAGGAAUUGACGGGGACCCGCACAAGCGGUGGAUGAUGUGGAUUAAUUCGAUGCAACGCGAAAAACCUUACCUACCCUUGACAUGUACGGAAGGCCGAAGAGAUUUGGCUGUGCUCGAAAGAGAGCCGUAACACAGGUGCUGCAUGGCUGUCGUCAGCUCGUGUCGUGAGAUGUUGGGUUAAGUCCCGCAACGAGCGCAACCCUUGUCAUUAGUUGCUACGAAAGGGCACUCUAAUGAGACUGCCAGUGACAAACCGGAGGAAGGUGGGGAUGACGUCAAGUCCUCAUGGCCCUUAUGGGUAGGGCUUCACACGUCAUACAAUGGUACAUACAGAGGGCUGCCAACCCGCGAGGGGGAGCUAAUCCCAGAAAGUGUAUCGUAGUCCGGAUCGCAGUCUGCAACUCGACUGCGUGAAGUUGGAAUCGCUAGUAAUCGCGGAUCAGCAUGUCGCGGUGAAUACGUUCCCGGGUCUUGUACACACCGCCCGUCACACCAUGGGAGCGGGUUUUACCAGAAGUAGGUAGCUUAACCGCAAGGGGGGCGCUUACCACGGUAGGAUUCGUGACUGGGGUGAAGUCGUAACAAGGUAACC